rnacentral:tRNA from 1 species
GGGCGAUUAGCUCAGUUGGUUAGAGCGCCACGUUGACAUCGUGGAGGUCACAAGUUCGAGUCUUGUAUCGCCCA